rnacentral:rRNA from 1 species
GACGAACCGUGCGAACGUUGUUCGGAAUAACUGGGCAUAAAGGGCGCGUAGGCGGGCCCGCCAGUCAGGGGUGAAAGCCCGCGGCUCAACCGCGGAAGCGCCUCUGAUACUGCGGGCCUGGAGGGAGGCAGGGGAGUGCGGAACUUCCGGUGGAGCGGUGAAAUGCGUAGAUAUCGGAAGGAACACCGGUGGCGAAAGCGGCGCUCUGGACCUCUACUGACGCUGAGGCGCGAAAGCCAGGGGAGCAAACGGG